rnacentral:rRNA from 1 species
CCAGCAGCCGCGGUAAUUCCAGCUCCAAUAGCGUAUAUUAAAGUUGCUGCGGUUAAAAAGCUCGUAGUUGGAUAUGGGUCUCGGUCGGGUGGUGCCGCCUCACGGUGGUCACUGCCUCGAUCGGACAAUUCAUUGGAUCGUUCGGGGUGCUCUUAACCGAGUGUCCUUGGUGGCCGAUACGUUUACUUUGAACAAAUUAGAGUGCUUAAAGCAGGUGCACCGCGCCUGAAUAUCACAGCAUGGAAUGAUGGAAUAGGACCUCGGUCUUAUUAUGUUGGUUUUCUGGACUUGAGGUAAUGGUUAACAGAGAAAGACGGGGGCAUUCGUACUGUGACGCUAGAGGUGAAAUUCUUGGACCGUCGC